AGUAGUUUAUUUAAGGCAAUAUAAACAUGCAAUUUUUUUCAGAAUAAAACCGUUUGUUCUGUCGUGUCCAAAUUAAUAAAGAUGUCCAAUUAACAAGAAAAAUGCAAUGCAUAAUUGGCAGGGGCUACCGUUACGGAUUAACAGUUUGUAACAGGUGUAAAUGUGUUGCAUGUCAAAAAUUGUCCAAUUAACAAGAAAAUUGCAAUGCAUAAUUGACAGGGGUCAUCGUUACGGAUUAACAGUUUGCACCAGGCGUACAUAUGAUAUCUUUUUGUCUUUUGUUCAUUUUUAUUGGCGCCUGUUAUAUGUAACAAGUUUUAGAAUUAUUUUUUU